GUAGGUUUAGCCAUUUUGUUACAGUUGCUGUUUGCAACAUCUUAUUUACUUACAAUUACGUAACAGGUGGUUUAGAGCAGUAUUUCAUAAUAUAAACGGUGAGCUGAGUACAGAAAACAGCCAAAGUAUACAGUUUGUCAGCAAUCUGUGAAGUGAAUAACGUAUAUUAAGAAAAGUCACAUUGGGUUAAUAAUACUGUGAACAAUUGCUUUGAAUGUAAAAGAAUUUAAGACAUCCUUCUCUGGAACCCUUUGAAACAUCUAGCAGUAGGCAACCCCCUUCUCAGUGUUCAGACUUCAUGGUUAGGCAUACUAAGGUGCUCCACACUUAGGAGAUUGAUGUGCUAGAUUGUCUACAGAACAGGAAAAAAAAAAAGAAAGAAAGAAAAAAAAGGAAAAAGAAAAAAAAAGAACAGAAAAAAAGGGAUGUCAUUCUGAGGAUGAGCUUGUGACCUACAUUGCAAUCCAUAAAUUUAAGUCCCUUUUCACUAGAAAAUACAGAGUAAUAGAUUCUUAAUAGGCAUUUGGAUCAGCCGUCAUUCUCAUUUUUUGCCUAACUUAUUGUUUGAUACCUUUCUCUGUCUCCUUAUACCCAUGCCUCUACUCUUCUGUAUGAUUGCCUCUAAAACCAAAUCAUUGCCUCCUGUGAAUUUUAGGACCUUUUUUUCCAAAAAAUGGUUGCAGUGGAUAAAUUGUUGUCAUAUGCAAGUUAGAAAUCUGCCACAGAUACAUGUAUUUGCAGAAGACGAAUAUGACAACAGUGCGAAACUUUUGUGUAUGUAGUCCUCAAGCUUCUUGUUUUUGAAGUACUUGGAGACUUAGUACUCACAAUAAUGAGUACGCUAUGUGUUACAGCAUUAUGCCUUCCAAACAUUAAUUAUGAAUCCUGAUCAUUAUUUCAAACGUAUGCUCUGGGUGCCCAACUAUUUGGCAGCACCUACCUGAGUGCAGUUCUCAUCAACAUUGUCACGUUACAGUAUCUGAAAUUGCUUUUGUAUAAAGCCAUCCAUCUGGUACUCUGUUUUAUUUUAUUCUUUGCUUAUUUAGAUCAUAAUCACAGUUGUGAGGUAUCAUGGUAACUAUUUACUUGAUAUUGAUCUUAUGUGUAACAUCUGUUGAAAAUGCCUGAUCUGAAUGUAAUUAGGCAGCUUUUUGUUGUUGUUGUUGUUUUAUUCUGAGUCAGGCAAUAUUCUUGUGCAAGAGCAAUUUCAUGUUUCUCAGGUGGCUGGUGGUUUAGCUCUGAGAAUGGCACUUAGAGGUGGAAACAUUAGCCAAGAUUAUAAAGUUGCUUGUUCAGUUCUUAACUAUUCUAGUUUUACUGACUCUACAGACUAUUAUGAAAUUAGAAUUAAUUUUGUCUUAUGACUUUCUAGACUUUAGAAGUCUUUAUAUCUGAUGUGGAACAGUACAGUUUUGUGUGUUUGAAUGCUUUGGCUGUGCUCAGCCCCUGAAGAACUGAAGUGGUAUUUUAACCUCUUAAAGUGAAAUAAAAUUCAGGCCCAUGAGAGACAGAGGUAACACUGAUCAUCAUGUCUAAUUUCUGAUUUGCAUUUUGCUUUUUCUUACUGCAGUAAUAAGUACAGGGAAUAAUUCUCUUCCAUAUAAGUGGUAAUACAUUGUAUCAUUUUAGCCCAAAUGAUUUUCCAGCAGAGGGACAGAGACAAGGGAGAAAUUAAGAGUUUUGCCCAUUUAAGACUUCUUUCUCACAAGAUAAACACCAUAGAAAGGGUAGGGACUUGCGGAGUUUAAAACAGAUUUAUAAUCUCCACACCCCAGCAAUUAUAAGGAGCUUUCUUGGAAAUCUUAUUCCCUGUGCUCUUGAAAGUUCACUCUUUACGUUUUAUUCAGUGUAUAAAACAAUACAUACAAUUGGAUUGUGUUGCUGCAGUGGAAAAUCAGAAAUUUAAGAAGAUGGGAAUAACACAUGACAUUAAGAUUGUGGCUCAGCGUAGGAAAAAAAUGGGAAUUUUUAUGUCAUACCUGCUUUUCCUUCUGCUCAUCCUUUACUAAUGUUCCCCUCUGAAAUACUUUUAAUUUAUAGACAGCUUAUACAUGGCACAUGAACCUCAUAUUUCAGGUAUCAGCUCUCAAGUUCAGAUGAAAAUGCCUUAUGACCCUGUGGACCAACCAUAAAAGUGAUACACACACAUAUCUCACUGACUAGGAAUAAGCAAAUUUUAUAGUAAUCUUAAUUCAUUCUUUUAAAAGGGCUACUUUCAUGAGAACUACAUUAUUAGACCAAUUGAAAACAAACAGCCCACAAAAUCUUGAAAAAUCUCUGUGAUUUUUCUUGAACUAAAGCUAUUUUCAAGCUACUUCUCCUACAUCUUGAAUCUAACCAUUUGCUCUAUUACAUGGCUCAGGUGCUUAGCCUACACACCAGAAUGGUAUGACUGCAGACAUCACAGCCACAGCUGUUAAAUAAUGAAACAGUUUUUCACAGGCAUCAAAGUUCUGCAAAUAAACCCCCCAAAUUUCAUUAUUUACUGUACACGUAUACUAUACAUGUUGUAAGUACCUCACAUAGGUUAUGUAUAGAUGUAUGUAUAGCUUUGCAAGACUCAAAUGCAAGUCUUGCAUCUGAGAAAUGACCUCUUAGCACUUAGAACUGAAGGCAGUUCUCAGCUCUCCCACAGACUGCCUGUGGCUUGCAGGAAGAGAUGAAGAACCACAAGAAGCUGUGGACUCGCCUGCCUUCAAAAGAUUAAUGAGAAUUUAAAGCCAACUACUCUCCACGUUUCUCAGAUGUGUUGCAGAGUCAAAGAAGAGAGGAAGUUAUGAUAUCUAAUCCAAAUACUAGCAUUAGUUGAUCUGCUAACAAUAGAUCCCCUUUCUCUGGAGAUUUCUUCCUCAUGGUGUGUACAUUUCUAAGUCCUAAGCAAAGAGACAUGGUGUAUGUGAAUAUGCAGGUGGAUUUGCGGCCUCUUCUAUCAGUUCUUUCGCACAGUAACUGACAACAAUCAUUCCUACAGACUAAUAUUUGACAUUUUGGAUCAUUACACAAAAAUGCAAUUGAAAUUAAUUAAUUUGAAGAAAUUUGGAAAACUGUACUUCACAAAGCCCAUUAGAUUAGUGUUCUCUGUGUCAUGAGAUUGUGGCAGCGUGUUACUUCUGGUGGAUGUGGCAUUUUGCAGGAUUGUGCCCUUUCUUCAGAUGAUUGUUUUUUAUGUCUUUUCUGUUCCCAGGUCUCCCUGUUUCUCUUUUGCUGUCUAUUAGAGUAAAUAUAUUCAAUACAAGAAGAUUAAUUGAACAAGGGAAAUGUUAUAAGUCUAGGCAAUAUUUGGCCAUUUAUCAGUAAGACAAGAAAUUGUCUUUUUUAACCUAUAAAGGAAAAUGAUUGAUUUCGAAAAUGAAACUUCAGUCAUCCUUCAUUGUUUUAGUUGUGCAGUGAUCCAAAGUCCUCUAUUGAACUAAAAAUGCCCAAAAGGUUGUUCCCUCUAUUCGUUAGAUCUCUUGGCAUUUUUUGGCUUGUUCUUUUUGUUUGCUUGUUUGCUUUCAAGUGAAACAGAAGCUUGAGAAGCAGCUAAUCACAUUGCUUUUGUGCAGUUACUUUUAUUCUUUUUAUUAUACAACCAGAACCCGAGGAAAUGGCCACAAGUUGUAUCAGAGGAGGCUUAGGUUAGACAUAAGGAAAAGCUUUUUCUCUCAGAGAGUGGUCAGGCACUGGAAUGGCUGCCCAGGGAGGUGGUGGAGUCACCAUCCCUGACAGUGUUCAAGAGGCGUCUGGAUUAGGAGCUACCAGAUGCGAUUUAGUGGCUUGUGGUAGCAAGGGUAAUGGGAAGCCAGUUGGACUAGAUGAUCUUGUAGGUCCUUUCCAACCUUGUGAUUCUAUGAUUCUAUGAUUCCCAGAGUAAGUAGAACCAGAAGAGCAGGAAAACUUGAGGAUCAGCCAUGCACCUUGGUGACCUUUGCUCACCAUUGCAAUGUUUAUUUCACAACAGGGAGGGUAACCCAGAUAUAUUUUCAUGUAAAUUGCAUUCAAGACCCAUUACAUUUCUAAUAAAUCCCAUUUUUACUUAAUAGAGGUAAACGGAAAAAAGUCAUCAGAUAACAAUUGCAGUGAAAAGAGACAUUGACAAUGAUUAUAUCAUUUUACCAUAUGCUAAUUAUUCUACUUUCUGAGGAAACAAAGGAAGCCUGGUGGUUUUUCCUUUCUAUUUUGUUUUCUUUAUUGACUUCAGUGAAGUGGAGGUGGCAUCCAUCACUGCUGCAGAUGACUUGGACUGACUCCCAAGUAACUCAUGUCAGAUUUUGAAUAGAUUCAGUUUAAUCUUUCUGGAAAGACAUUUAGGAGUCUAUUGUAACUGCUGAAGGCCCCAUAUCUUCUUCUAGAUGGAUUUUAUCACAGAGUUGAUACCCGGUCAGUUUCUCAAAUGGUAGAUACUCAAUUGUUCCUUUUCCAUCUGUUGUCAAUAAGUACUCAAAAACGAAGAGGUGCUGUGAAUGAACUUUAGAAAAGCAAGUUUUUUUUUUUUUUUUUAACAAGUUAAAGUCAGGAGGCUAAGAUAUUUACCCCUGAAAUUCUUUACUCAAUUGUCUGCAGAGUACGCCAAGGAAACACAUUUUUCAGCUACCCAUAGAGAUUCAGGGGACAAAAAAAUUAUGAAAAGAUGUUAGAUUCUGACAAAUGGAUCUGAAUAAGUUGUAACAUGGGUACAUGUAUUUGAAAGGACAGUAAUUAAAUAUAGACUAUUUAAUAUAAAACAGAGCUUCCCCACAUAUUUGACUCAAUGGCAACAUAGUAUGAGAAUUUGGAGAAUUAUAAUGAAGAGCUAUAAAAAUGUUCUGGCAUAAGACAUUUGCUACUUUACUGGAAGUAUGGACAAGAUUCCCAAUGAAUAAAAUAUAAAUGAUGUACAAUUUAGUUACUGAAACUGCACUAAAGUGUUUGCAGAAAAGAAAAUUAAACUUUCUGCAAUAUCAAAAUGUCUAAUAAUAAUAGCAUCCUUCUUUUAAAUGCUACAAAUCAAGCUGUCACUUCCUAUCAUGCAAUUUGAUUGUUACAUUUCCUUUUUCUUUUGAAGAGCCUUGUGGGAUGAGGGCAGAACAAGAGCUGUCAAUUUAUGACAAAAAACAUUUCAUAUUUGAAGUCACAAAACUCAGAAUAGGUGAUGAGAUCUGGAAAAAAAGCCCUCAGUAGUUUUCCCCAUGGGAUUAACAAACAGUCAAAAUUGUUGAUAUUUCCUAUAUAAAAAUUUAUAUAGCAAGGAGAGUUCAUGGUAUUAGAGCAAAACUAGAGUUUUCCAAUAGUUUUAAUAUGUUGAAACUAAGUUCCCUCACCUCAGCUGUAAAAGAGCCAGAGUAAUUUGGGAUUGUGUCCUUUAUGCAUGAGAGCAAAUAAAGAUGCAGCUAUUUUUUAAAGAAUAUCUGGAGAAAUUAGAUAAAGUUUUAAACACUGAACUACUCAUGCCUCUUUGACAUUGCCCUUACUUUAGAGUUCUUUGAGACCUUCAGACAAGGAGUAUAAUUCAUAAUUAUCAUAAAAUAAUUUACAUUGGAAGGAAGCUCUGGAGAUCACAUGGUCCAACCUCCUACUUAAAGCUAGACUGAACUUGAAGGAAUCCCUAAAUAUUUUUAUUGGGAUAUUUAGAUGUUGUUGUCCUUUCCCAUUUAAACAGAUUUGCAUUUAAAAAAGCAGCUUUGCAGUAGAAGAUCAAACUAGGAGUUAGAAUACCUGUAUUAUGUCAAUGACCUUUAUGUAGGAGAUAGAAUAUUCACACUGAUAACUUAUUUUCUAAUUUACUCGUUUGAUUGACUGUUCCGUGACUGCAGUGGCUGGGGAAAUAAAUCCUGUGUAACUGAAGAAAACCAGGAAGAAAAUGAGCAGUGUUUUCAAACAAUCACUGUGUGAGACUUUGGCCACCAUACUUCAGUGCUGAUUAUUUAUUUCCUCCACAAGAAAUAUACAUUAGUGUAACAACUGUUUUUGUUGUGGUGGUGAGGAGCAGUGUUUGUUUUCCUGCAUGUUUAUUCUAUUUUAUUUUUAUUUCUGAAGUAGUUACCUUCAUACCACAAGGACAAGAAAUUUUUUUCUGAUUUUAAAUAUAUUGUUUGAUUUUUCUCAAAAACAUUAUUGACUGGAAAUGUCAGUGACCAUGAGUCCCACUCUGUAUGGAUCAGUUAUUUUAGCUACACAUUGUUUUGGAAAUAUGGAGGCCUAUUGACUGCAUUCAAAAUAAAACUCUGCAGUGCUGCUGUAAGCAUUCAGUGAAUCACCUAUUGUAAAUUUGUUUGUGGAAGCAGUUUAACUACAGUAUCUGAAAAAAAAAAAUCAAUGGCAUGUGCUAGUUGACCUUUAAGUUAGCAUCUGUAAAAAAAAAUGUUGGUUUAGUAACUAUAGUCUUUGUACAACACAACAAAUGUGUUUCUGCAGCUAUUAAUGAAUGCAUUCUAAUAAUUUUGAAUAUCAACAUUCAAAAAAAUGUCAGCAAGAUCUCAGUUCUUGGAAUUCUUACUCAGUGCAGUGACUCAUAGCAUUAAAUUCAAGACUUAGUACAGACUUAGUACCCAGGCUAAGCAUUUUUGUUUUGGGAUUUUUUGUAUCCUCUAUAUUCAAGGAAAACAACUAUUUGCUUAAACAUUCAUUGUACAGCUAAAUGGCUAUUUAUGGAUUUUUCAGCUACUAGAAGAUCUAUGAUUAUUAGCUAGUCUCUCGUGUCAAAGUCCUUUUGUUUUCCCAGAGGUUGAUGUUCAAGUAAAUAUACCUACAGAAUGAGCAUAUGAAGUAGUGCUGUGUGAUGUCUACCUCAGACAGCUGUGUUAAUAACUUUUUUUUUUUUUAAUGGCUAUGCUAAACACAAAACUCCACUUCUUCUCAGUGGUCCUUUUCAAUGUUGUGUACAAGUAGCCAUGAGAACACUUCAGAACAGUAUGACAUUUUGUACCUAAAUGAAAAACAUUUUGGCAAGCUUAUUUUAACUCCACAUCCACUGUUCUCCCAGGCCUAAGCACUCAUUAAAGAUUCUAAGGAUUUAAAUUUUAAACAUGAGCUCCCAGUGAAAAUUAAAUUAUUCCUAUAUUUUCAUUUCAUUUCAUACCAAUAAUAGUGUGUAAUGUGAAAUUUUCCAGUCCCGUGUCAAUACACUGAGUUCUGAACCAGAAGUUACUACAAUGAGCUGAAGAGCUACGAGUGACAUCAGUUAUCCCCAUAAAAAGAAUGCCAAUUAGAACAUUGCUCGCUGAUAAAAACAUUGCCUGACGUAGCCAUAAUUUCCUGAGAUAAAAGGGACAGUGUAGGCUAGCCUACAAACCACAGCUUUGAGAAAGAUAUUUCUGUUGUAUAGGAUAGCCUCACUAUGGGUGCAAAUAGAGUGUAUGCAAAGUUUUCUUUCCUUAUAGUACACAGUUAGUUAUAUCAGCAAACAUCUUUGUUUUAUUACUUUCCUUCUUUCACAUUUGAGUUUUCAAUCAAUUGUUGCCUUACCCAAGGACUUCAAGCCAGAUUUUGAAGACUACUCACCAGGUACUUUCAGUAUCAGGCUGCAAGUGACAAAAACGGGGACUGAACGUGUUAUGGUGAAGAAAAUACAUUCUGUUGAGUUAGCUGAAAGUUGACUGUAUCACAAGAACUCACUGCAAGUGGAGUAUGUGAAAUAGAUGCAGAUGUCAUAACAAGCAGACCACCCAGCACCAAUUGAGCCACUGAAAAUAAACAUCAAGAUAAUUCAGUAGUAUAUAUGUAUAAUAAAUAUGAUCAUAAGACAAAGAUUUUCUUUCAGCAUCAUUUGAAUUACAUUAAUUAGGUUUGAAUAAUUCCCCAUAAAUUAUUUGCAGACCAGUAGAGCUGAAGUAUGUACCAUCCUAAAUAAUGUGGUUUAUAGCAUAUCCGCUGCCAUAUAAAACCAAUUUGAGAUCUAUUUGGAUAUGAGUAUGUAUAAGUAAUAAUGUUAAACAAGGGAGAAAAUAAUAUAAUGAAGAUAUCAGGAAAAAGUUAGGGAACUCAUUCAAUGAAGAAAUUGAAUAUACCCAAAUUUCUAUGUUUUAGGGAAACUGGAAAAAAAGAGAUUUUUUAAAAGAAAAAACUAAUUUUGAAAGGUUCAGAUAUUUCCCUGCUCCAGUCUGGAGUUCUUGCAAUAUAAGUUUAUUGACUCUUGUGCUGUUUUGAAUUUGUAUGAGGCCAUUCAUAUCAUUUAUGAAAUCUCAUAUAUUACUGUGAAGCACAUAAUGUGGUUAUGUAAAAUGUGGUUUAGUUGCCAAGGAAAAUAGAGAAGAAGAAAAAAAACUUUGGUGUCUUUCGGAGAUUUUAGUAUGCACUGAGCUUUAGAGGAUAAAUAUGAAGCCAAAUCCAACCUCAGUGCUUUGGGUUUGCCCUGAGGCCUAGAAAGAACUUUGUUCUUUAUGUACUCUGCCUACACUCAGAGAUAGAUGCCUAUAGAAUAUUGAGAAGCUAUAUGAAAAGAGAAAGUCAUCAACCACCGUCUUGUCCUACUUCAAAAACACAGACUGGUUAUUUUUGCUGUCAGUCUAUGAAAACUUUGAUUUUUUUCCUACCAGAAAGUAAAGAAAUCAAUAGAGAGUACAGUAUAAUGUGAAAUAAUGUACUGCUGGAUACAUCCUUUCUUAUGGAAAUGAUUUCAGUCAGUCUUCUUUCACAGCAAAUGCUGCAGACUUUACCCAAGACAAAACUAUCCUACUUUCAGGCUCUGUACAUUUACGUAAAAGGGAAGGUUGAAACGAUUUGAAAAGUCCAAAUGAUGGAGAGAGAUUAAGGCAUAUUCUGUGCCCCUUGCAUGAAAGAGCUUUAUAGGAGUGGCAGACAGGAAGGCAAAUCUGUCUGGAGGUAUUAUAUUAUCCAGAGGUAAAUUAGGUGUUAACUGGGUCAAACUGUGCACAGCUGUGCAGAAUUCAGAGCAGUGUGCCAGUGCAGCAGCCCAGCCAGCAGCUCCUUCUCUCACCCAUGGCAGGGAAUAGCAGCUCACAUGUGGAGCAUGAGAAAGGAGACCCUACACAAUUGUUUAGCCUGGAGAAGAGGAGACUCAGGGGACAUCUUACUGCUCUCUACAAUGACCCGAAAGGAGGUUGUAGCAAGGGUUAGGGUUGGCCUCUUCUCCCUGGUGACAACGAUAGGACAAGAGGCAAUUGCCUCAGGUUGCACAAGGGGAGAUUCAAGUUGGAUUUUCUCUUUUCAGAAAGAGUGGUGAGGCAUUGGAGCGGGCUGCUUAGGGAGGUGGUGGAAUCAUUGUGCCUGGAGGUGUUCAAGAAACAUGGAGAUGUGGUACUUAGGGACAUGGUUUAGUGGGCAAUACUGGUGGUAGGUGGAUAGUUGGACUUGAUGAUCUUAGAGGUCUUUUGCUAUCUUAAUGAUUAUAUGAUUCUGGGAAAGACUUUUCAUGAGCAGCCCCCUUGGAAAUGGAGACAAUGGAGUGGAAAACCAAUUUCCAAUGCAAAUAAAUAAAACACUCUUCAAAGCUGAAGAACUGAGUGAGAAAGAAACUAUCCAUAGGAACACUAAUAAUUACUGAUGCUGCUCCUAAAAGCAGAGCUAGGACAGUAAUUCAAUCCACAGCUUAAACAUGAACAGUUCACAUAAAGAUGAAUAGGGAACAACUUUCCUCCUUUCAUCAAGAUAGCAUAUGCUUCAUCAAUACUUAUAAGACAAAGUGUUAUGCUCAGGGGUUUACUGAAGUGGAAAUAACUAUUUUUCUACUUUUAUUACAUCCACAUUCUCCAUUUUUUUUAGACAGACUUGUUGGAAUACAGCUCAUUGGGAGGCACUGACCUUCCCAAAGAUUGCCUCCCAUUAGCUCUUCUUAACAUGCCACAAUAGAGCAUAUUUUAAAGAGCAUCCACAUCAUGAGCAGCGCAUGCCAAUUCAGAAGAGCACAAUCUGCAGCACUGGUGAGGCCAAAAACAGAAUCAAUGGAAGUGAUGCAAAGUCCUUAGCUAAGUUCAAAAUGCUCCACUGGGACUGGUUAUUGAACUCAGCUCUGCUGUUAGAACCUAAGAGUAAUCUAAACACAGAAAAUCUUUUGUAAUGCAACGUUAUCAAACCAAAGUGGAUUUAUGAUUGCUUUGGAGAAGCCAUGUUAUGAAGGGGGAAAAAAAAAAAAAAAAAAAAAAAAAAGAUGAGGGAGACUCAAUUAACUGUAAUGCCUUUUCUUAUCACAAGACAGUAAUCUUUUCCCAUGACAGGAAAGAAUGCUUAGGAAAAUAAAACAUGAAGAACAGUUUAGGGCCAAGUCAAAGGAUGAAAAAUCUGUUUGCAAGUCAUAUAAUUACUCUUUUGAAGUUAUCAUUAAGUUCAGUAGUGUGAAUUAAAUAGAGAAAGAGGGAUACUCUUUAAAUGAUUAAUUAUAUCUGAUAUAGACAACCAAGUAUCUGUAGCAAAUGAUUUAUCAAAUUUCUAGUGUAUUGAAGAUAGACUGAAAGCAAAACCCAUAGCCUUAUUCACAAACACUAUGCUGCAAUAUUGGAGAGAUGGGUCCAUCUGAUUAAUGCUGGUUAACUAAAGACAAAUCUCAACAUACAUAAAAGUUUGUUUUCUUUUGCCUAGCAUUUUGAAAGAGUAACAAUACUGCACUCUGAAUAAUUUUGAUUCUACCCUGAGAAUAAAAAUGAACUUGAUAAACUUAGCUCUCUAAGCAUGGAUAACCAAAGCCCUACUCCUUUAUUCGUGUGCUAGCAGAGCUGACCAUUAAAAAUACUCAGCUCCAUAGCUCAUCUCAUAAAUCAACAGAAGGAAGAGUUGUCCACUAUUCCUGGAAGUAAGUUUCAUUUAGGGGAUUUAGGUAAACAUUUUCGGAUCUGCUUUGGCACCCAAGUCAUAGAAUCAUAGAAUCAUAGAAUCAUAGAAUGGCCUGGUUUGGAAGGGACCACAAUGAUCAUCGAGUUUCAACCCCCUUGCUAUGUGCAGGGUCACCAACCACCACACCAGGCUGUUCAGAGCCACAUCCAGCCUGGCCUUGAACGCCUCCAGGGAUGGGGCAUCCACAGCCUCCUUGGGCAACGUAUUCCAAUGCGUCACCACACUCUGUGAGAAAAAACUUCCUCCUAAUAUCUAACCUAAAAUCCAGACACUCAGGCUUUAUCUGCGACUGAGAGCAUUAUUAUCACAUGCAAGGUAAUUAAUCUUGUAUCCCAACAAACCUAACCCAUACAUUUACCUCAUUGGAGACAAGGACCCUUCUUUUUGCAUCUCUGACACAGGAUGAACACUUGAUGCAACAGCACCAAUGUAGAUUCCCCCUUCUCUAUUCUCAGCAGGCUCUUUGCUAGUUUGUCCCUUCUGUUCUGCUCCAGGCACUGAGCAAUUUUGUUUAUGGCUACAGCAGUCCCUGGCUGUCUUGCUUUACACUAGUAAGUGCCUUGUCUGGUUUAUAUAUAUUUUCAGUGCUCCUAAACAACUUGAUGAAGGACAGAUAGCAAAAUAAAGAGGCCAGACCACCAGUCACUGUAAAUUGGAUAGCUCUGUGGAUUCAAGUGAAUUGAAACCAAACUGUACUGAUUCACAAAAUAUGUUUUUUUGUGCUGUGACAUUGUUCUUUGAAUUUCAGUUGUGGCUGCACAGAUUCUUUAUUUUCUGGUUGUCUAUUUAAAAAAGCAGACAUUUCUGUUUGCUGUGCAUAUUCAUUUCAGUACAUAUUUGAAGCCAAAGAGAUCAUCUGGAUCCACAAAUAAAAUGCUUGCAGUCAUUCAUACCCACUCACAAAUACUAUUAGGGUGACCAGAGAUGGAGCCUAAAAUUUAGCUGUCAGAUUUUGUUAAUGGGUUCAUAAAGUAAAAAUUAUAGGCUGACAGCAUCCUCUGUUGGGAAACGUGCCAUUAAGAUAUUCUGAGGUCUCUUAAAAAUUCAGCGAGUGAGAAAAGUGCUGUUAAUACAGUUGGGUGCUUUAGGAUAGCUAUACUUCUUCUAAUUUCCAAACACUAUACAUUACUCUUGAAGUGUGAAUGCAUAUAUUAAUAUCCUGUCUCCCAAGAAGAUGAGUAAAAAUUUUUGGAGCAAAAUAGUAGUUAGACAUAGGCACCAUUUUACAUAGAGAUCUUAUUGAUUCUUCAUCACAAGUAGCCUUGACACAAAGCUUGAUGUCUUCUGGCCCAGGUUAUGGACCUGGUAGGGAAUAUCUUGCAAGUCAUAGAGGUAACGCUAUGCAAAAGGUCACUGAAAUCUUUCCUAAACCAUAAUGCACAGCAAAACAAGUUAUUUCCUGAGAAACACAGCUCCAUUGCAGCAGGGUCCCCAUCCCACAGUGCAACUGAGCACAGCCAUCCAGCAGGAAUGGGUAGGGAGUUGCAGGCAUUAGGCCCUUAUACAUGCUAUCAGCAAUCAGAUACAGAGCAUGGACACUCUACAGAAGUCUGAACAUGGGCAUUGCUAUGAGGUAAAUUUCUACAUUCUUUAAAACAUCUAUUUAGAAUCUAGUCUAUAUUUAAGGUGAUGCUGAGGGCAAGAAUAUUGCAGAGAUUAUACAUUUUAAUCUCUCACAUCUCUUUUUUGAGCAACCCUGGGCUUCUUCUAAGUUUCAAAAUCAAAGAUCCCACAAGGGAUGAGUGGUAUAAUGACCUCUCUGCAGAUGUAAAUGUUCUCCUCUAAGCUACAGCAGUCAAAGGGAUAGAGCUGUGAUAAAUACUUUGUAUUAUUACACCCUUAUUUUCCCAUUCAUCUUCAGAUGUUCUGCUUUUCCAUUUUCCUCUAUUUCUUCUGCAUUCUUCAAUUCCCAGUUCUCUCUCUCUCUCUUUUUUUUUUUUUUUUCUCCAGCCAUCUGCUCUUUCUCUGUAGUGCUUAUGUACAUGAGAAUCAGCAUCACUGUUCAUUGCAAACCAGGGAAAACUGAGUUAUAAGGAAAGUGCCCUUCUGAAUCAUGUUCACCUGGGGCUACUGAGGGAUAUAUAAGCUUCAUGUAUUACUUAGAUGUAUUUAAGUAUCUAAACACUUACCACAACAGAAGUCUACAAAGUUUAUGCAUACAUAGAUUUUUCUAGGCAGCUCACUAUAACUAGUACCCAAGCCACCCACAACUAUGCAGCGAAACUCCACAUCAUUGUAUAAACAAGUGCUCCACAAAAAGCAAUUUCUCCAUGAUUCCUCAGGGCUUUGUGGGUUUUUUGUUAUUUGUUUAUUUAAAUGGCUUAACAAAUGUACUCAGAUGCCACAGCGAUAGGCAAGAUAUAAGUAGCGAAGUAGAAUGUACACUGGAGAAAACAGAGUAUUUUAAGAUUAAAUUCAAUUAAUCAGCUAUGGAUUGUUCUCUUUUCUCCAUUUUAUCCAGACUGGAAUAUUAAGUGAUCAGUCAGAAGCAGUUACUUGGAAGAAACAUAUUUCUGGACUACAGACAGAAGGAAAGCAAACUGCUUUCUCUAUUUAAUUUUUUGGAGUUUGGCAGUUCUUUACGUUUACUCCUUCACACUUUCCUCUGGAGCAUCUUGGAGUUGGGCAGUGUUUCAUGAUUUCUGAGGGGCAUCUUUGGAGAGCAAAGCAGGACAGAAAACAUGUUAAAUGUGAUCACAAAGGCUUAGUACAAGGUACAUUUUUCUACUGUCUCCAACUAUUUCUGACCUCCUCAGGAAUAAAAAGACUCAGAAAUGAUCACCUCUCUGCAUAAAAUCCUGAAGUCAAACAUGAAUAAAAUGGAUAAAACUCACCAUUCUGAAUACUAUACAGGACUUCUGAUAUGGGAGUUGUCUAAAUGAAAUGGAGGACUGGAGGGAAGUAUGAAGUGUACAAGGAACCUUCCUACAUUGGCACAGCCCCUUCUUGACCUGGUUGUCUGGUAUUUGUAAAUGUUUUCAAUCAACUCUCUAUGCCCGUAUUACCUCGCUUCAAUUUUGUUCUGAGCAGCCAUACAUCUGUGCACCACAGCAUGCUGAAGACCAAAUAUCUCUAAUUAGGAACAUAACACUUUUAAUAUGUUCCACAUGGGAUCAUCACAAAUAGAGUUUACUGCCACCACAGCUCCUUGAGGGUGAGAUGGCUUCACUGCCUGACCUGUGCUUUCACAAUGUCUAUCAUGAUUUUCACCUUCCUCUUUCUCAUCUGUGCUUCCUAUAAUAUGAUGGAUAUUUCUGUUCAUAAAUGUUCCAGAAUGGUGUCGUAUAUCCUCAAUUGCUUGGCCAGAAUAAAUAAACAAAUAAAUAAAUGCCUUGAAUUAAAACUAGAAACUGGAUUCACGAUGCAUCGGCUGCUUAUUGCUGGCCAUCCCAUGUCCUCCAGAAGGUCUG
ensembl:lncRNA